rnacentral:rRNA from 1 species
UUACGGUCAAAUCAUUAAAAAACACCGGUUCUCGUUCGAUCACCGAAGUUAAGCAUCGUAGAGCCAGGUCAGUACUUAGAUGGGGGACCGCUUGGGAACACCUGGUACUGUAAGC